GGGCCGGGACAAAGCCUGGGCCGGGCCUGCGCUUCCGUUCGCUUGACUGGCUGCGCUUGUUUUCAGGGUUUUGGUCUGAAAACGGAUCUUACCUGCGCAGAGCAAAAUCGGUUGUAGAUUAUAUCCACGAAAAUUCCUUCUAUUAAAAUGAAUUUCAAGUCCCACCUACCCUGGAAGCAGAAAGAGAGAGAAGAGAGAGAGUAAAGAGAAAGAGAAAAGAAAGAGAAGUUGAAAAAGAGAAAGAAAACCAAGAAAGAAAGAGAAAAAAACCGAAAAUAAAUGGACAAGAAAGAAAAGCCAACGUGCCAUGCAUCCCUGGAGCAUGAAACCCAGGAUGGGCCGCCUUCCAGCCUCCCACAGCUGUGAUGCAAGUUGAACACAUACAGAGAGACUGCAUCUGCACUGGGUGGUUUUCCUGAGCCUUGGGGAGCAGAAUGCAUGAAUCCCAGGUAUCUGCCGAUCUGUAUGUAACAAAUUCACUUCAUGUAACUUACUGUGUGUCCGUGAGAUUAUCUCUCACUCAACUCAGACACAUUGGCAACCAGUGUGCAGUGAACCUGCUUCACAAGCAAGGAUGUGGAGAAACUAUUUUCGUACAUUUUGUGGGAAUCUGAAAUACUGCGGUCAGUAUGGAAAGCAGUAUCAUGGGAAACUUCCUCAACUCAAGAUCACCUACCAAUCCUUACAGAAUCAGAAUCAUCAUACAAACUGGUGAAAGCAUAGUUUCCCCUAGAGGUUGGGAUGAGGGCAAGAAUGUCCCCUCUUAUCACUACUAUUCCACACAAUAUGAAAGGUUCCAGCCAGUGAAAUAAAGGAAAAAGAAAUAAAAGUGACAGGCUGGGUGUGGUGUCUGAGGCCUGUAAUCACAGUGCUUUGGGAGGCUGAGGAAGGAGGGUGGCCUGAGGACAGGACAAAAAAAAUAGUGUACCAACAGAAAAUAUGUUGGUUGUGCAGGCUAAUACCUUUCCCAAAGGAAGGUAGCUACAUCCCUAUGACCUGUGUUACUGGAUAUAUCAAAAGGGAGUUUGCAAAUGUGGUCUAGAUAAGGAUCUUUAGAUAGACAUCCUGAAUUAUAUGGUCAAAGUGAUAGAAUCACAAGGUUCAAUAUCAGAAGGGUGCAGGUGGAUGCGAAGGGACAGAGACAGUGGUGAUGUGUUGAAAAUAGAGGGAUAAAGAGAUUUUUUUUCUCACCUUUAAAGAUGGAGGAAGUGGACCAUGAGUCAAAGGAUGUAAGUGGCCUCUGGAACCUACAAAGGGUAAGGAAACAAAUUCUCCCCUGGAGAUUAAUGAAGAAUCACAGAACUAUGGACCCAUAUUAGAUAUGUGACUUACAGAAUUAUAAAAGAAUAAAUUUUUCUUGUUUUAAGCCAAUCACUGUGUAUAGCAAUAGGAAACUGAUGAAAUGAUUUUAUGUAGAAAAUUCCAAAAAAAUCUACAAAAAUCUCUAGAACAAGAAAAAUGUAAAGGUAGCAAAGUAUAAGGUCAACCUACAAAAAUAUCGUAUAUUUCAUCAGCCAGGCAUGGUGGCUCGUGCCUGUAAUCCCAGCACUUUGGGAGGCCAAGGCAGGCAGAUCACUCAAGCUCAGGAGUUUGAGACCAGGCUGGGUAACAUGGUGAAACCCCAUCUCUACAAAACACAAAAAUUUAACAGGCCAUGGUGGCACAUGCCUGCAGUGCCAGCUACUGGGGAAGCUGAGGUGGGAGGAUGACUUAAGCCUGCAGGACACAGGUUGCAGUAGCUGAGAUUGCUCCACUGCACUCCAGCCAGGAUGACAGAGUAAGGCCCUGUCUCAAAAUAAUAAUAAUAAUAAUCUUGUAUAUUUCUAUACACUAGCAAUUUGCACAUGAAACCUGAUAUUAAAAAUAAAAUACUAUGUAUGAUUGCUCCAUUAAGAAAAAGGUCAAAGAGGCCGGGUGCAGUGGCUUACACCUGUAAUCCCAGCACUUUGGGAGGCCAAGGCAGGUGGACUACGAGGUCAGGAGAUCGAGACUAUCCUGGCUAACACGGUGAAACCCCAUCUCUACUAAGAAAAUACAAAAAAAUUAGCCAGGUGUGGUGGCGGGUGCCUGUAGUCCCAGCUACUGGGGAGGCCGAGGCAGGAGAAUGGCGUGAACUCAGGAGGCGGAGCUUGCAGUGAGCUGAGAUCGCGCCACUGCACUCCAGCCUGGGCGACAGAGCAAG
ensembl:lncRNA ZNF528-AS1 ZNF528 antisense RNA 1